rnacentral:rRNA from 1 species
UACGAAAGGGGCUAGCGUUGUUCGGAAUUACUGGGCGUAAAGCGCACGUAGGCGGCUUUUCAAGUCGGGGGUGAAAUCCCGGGGCUCAACCCCGGAACUGCCUUCGAAACUGGAUCGCUUGAGGCCGUGAGAGGAGAGUGGAAUUCCGAGUGUAGAGGUGAAAUUCGUAGAUAUUCGGAAGAACACCGGUGGCGAAGGCGACUCUCUGGCGCGGUUCUGACGCUGAGGUGCGAAAGCGUGGGGAGCAAACAGG